rnacentral:rRNA from 1 species
UACGUAGGGCGCGAGCGUUGUCCGGAAUUAUUGGGCGUAAAGAGCUCGUAGGCGGCCUGUUGCGUCCGCUGUGAAAUCCCGGGGCUCAACCCCGGGCGUGCAGUGGAUACGGGCUGGCUGGAGGCAGGCAGGGGAGAACGGAAUUCCUGGUGUAGCGGUGAAAUGCGCAGAUAUCAGGAGGAACACCGGUGGCGAAGGCGGUGCUCUGGGCCUGUACUGACGCUGAGGAGCGAAAGCGUGGGGAGCGAACAGG